UAAGCAUAUAAGUAGGUGGAGGAAAAGAAACCGAAUGGGAAUCUCUUAGUAAUGGCGAAUGAAAAGAGAUGUGCUUAGUGUCAAAAUCAGGUUGCCCUGACUUGUAGGCUGUAGGGGUGAUGCCAACUUGGGUGCAGGUGAAAGUCUCUUGGAAAGGAGCACCAGUGAGGGUCAGGGUCCCGCCAGUCAUCUGUGAUCCCUUGUAGACGGUUUGCCCAUAGAGAGUCGUGUUCUUCUGGAAUAGAGCGCCAAACGGGUGGUACUCUUUGCCUAAGGAGCAUUACGUGCUUGAGACCAAUAGUGAACAAGUACCAUGAGGGAAGGAUGAAAAGGACUUUGGAAAGAGGGUUAAGAGGGCAUGAAGCUGCUGGAAGGGAAGUGGAUUGGACUUUUCUUAGGUGGUAAGAUUGCAGCUUGCAGUCUUCACUUGUGGGGAACUGUGAGUUGUGUCUCUUGCCACUUGGUUGAGCUUUGUGUAGCGCUCAGAAUCUUAGCGUGGACUGGAGAAGGGUUGCGAUCUGGACCAUGUCCUUGCAUUCUCUUAGCGCAACAUUCAUCUUGACCAAAUUGUUCAAUUUUACCCGUCUUGAAACACGGACC
rnacentral:rRNA from 1 species